rnacentral:rRNA from 1 species
GUCCAGUUGGAACGACUGCUAAUACCGGAUGUGCCCUUGGGUAAAAGGUUUGUUUGCCUGGAAAUGAGCUCCCGUCUGAUUAGCUAGUUGGUGUGGUAAGAGCGCACCAAGGCGACAAUCAGUAGCUGGUCUGAGAGGAUGAUCAGCCACACUGGGACUGAGACACGGCCCAGACUCCUACGGGAGGCAGCAGUGGGGAAUUUUCCGCAAUGGGCGAAAGCCUGACGGAGCAAUACCGCGUGAGGGAGGAAGGCUCUUGGGUUGUAAACCUCUUUUCUCAAGGAAUAAAAAAGUGAAGGUACUUGAGGAAUAAGCAUCGGCUAACUCCGUGCCAGCAGCCGCGGUAAUACGGAGGAUGCAAGCGUUAUCCGGAAUGAUUGGGCGUAAAGGGUCCGCAGGUGGCAGUGUAAGUCUGCUGUC